CAGAGGAGGCGCCGAGAGCGAGCCAAGGCUGUGAGGACUGCCAGCACGCUGUCACCUCUCAAGAGUAUGAGAGAAAAGGACUUCCAAGAACCCAUUUCCACAGUUAUUGAAUAAGAGUUGAUAGAGCUCCAUACAGAUUAGAACAGAUCCAGGACCAGACACAGUGGCACACACGUACAAUCCCAGCACUUUCGGAGGCAGAGGUGGGUGAUCACUUGAUCGAGACCAGCUUGGGCAACAUGUAAUGUCUGGAAUAAAUCAUAAUAACCAGUGAAUUGAAGAACAUCUGAAAAUGAUAUCAACUUUGGGUAUGCAAACAUCAUUUAAUUUUAAAUACUAUAAUAUUUUAC
rnacentral:lncRNA from 10 species